AAUGGGUCGUUGUAGAUAAUGUUUUAUCUCUAAUAGGUUGAGCUAAAAUAUUUAACUGGAAAAGGAAACUAUGCAUCCAACGGGUCACAACCUUGGUUUUAACAAGCGCGCAAGUGCAAGGCGCACACCCUGGGGCUUUUCGCUCAACGCCUAGAGUAAUUACAAGAAGCGCUAAAAUGGCGCACUUUUUUGGGAUUUUUCUGGGCUUUUUUGGCCUGAGGCGUGCGCCUCUCGUACCCGAGACGUUUUUAUGCAUCUAACUGUUGUACCUUGGGUUUUUUGGCUUGUACAUGCAGCUAAAAUCAUACAAAAACCUUACUUAUAGCUAUAUUUUAGGUAACUUUCUCCUCCUGCUACUCGCUCUAUAACUAUGCACUAAGGUCACAGAAACAACAUAUGUUCUGCGGUUACAUAUACAUAUCACACGGUUAUUCAAUAAUCCUUCAAAAUCCUGGCAGCACAAACAAUCAAUGCAAAUUACACACAUCAUAUAUGUUCAAACAUUGUUCCAAGACAAGAUUCUAAACAACAUAACAAUGAGGUAUGGGUAAAUGACUUGAGAGAAUACUACAACCAACCAUUUGAUGAACAUGCUAUUAAUUAGUUUAAUUACAAUGUUAAUCGCACAAAGUAUAGAACAGUCAGGAUCAAAAUCAACUAAACAACAGGAAGCGUGGUUUCAAUUCAAAUGUAACCUUUUUCCCCGCUAAUCGCUCUAUACUAAACCUCACAGCUCGAAUAAUCAAUCAGACCUAAAGUGAAAGUAAA
rnacentral:lncRNA from 1 species